UCCUGUAUACUUUAAAUCAUUUCUAGAUUACUUAUAAUGCAUAAUACAUUGUAAAUGCUAUGUAAUAGUUAGUUUAUUCUAUUGUAAAAUUUAUAUUUU